GGCCGCGUCGACAACACAUGCAAGUCGAGGGGCAGCAUGAACUUAGCUUGCUAAGUUUGAUGGCGACCGGCGCACGGAUGAGACCACGUCACGAAAGUGAUGGGGGAAAAGCAGGGGAGUUCUUCGGAACCCUUGCACCAGAGGAUGAGCCCGCGUCCCAUCAGCUAGUUGGCGGGUAAAAGCCACCAAGGCAAAGACGGGUAGCUGGUCUGAGAGGAUGAUCAGCCACACUGGAACUGAGACACGGUCCAGACUCCUACGGGAGGCAGCAGUGGGGAAUAUUGCGCAAUGGGGGAAACCCUGACGCAGCAACGCCGCGUGAGUGAUGAAGGUCCUCGGAUCGUAAAGCUCUGUCGGCAGGGAAGAUGGCUCGGCUGGUUA
rnacentral:rRNA from 1 species